rnacentral:rRNA from 1 species
UACGUAGGCAGCAAGCGUUGUUCGGAGUUACUGGGCGUAAAGGGUGCGUAGGCGGUCCUAUAAGUAUGGUGUGAAAUCUCCCGGCUUAACUGGGAGGGUGCGCUAUAGACUGUGGGACUAGAGUGUGGGAGAGGAAAGUGGAAUUCCUGGUGUAGCGGUGAAAUGCGUAGAUAUCAGGAGGAACACCGGUGGUGUAAACGGCUUUCUGGACCAUAACUGGCGCUGAGGCACGAAAGCGUGGGUAGCAAACAGG